rnacentral:ncRNA from 2 species
UACGUAUCAAGAGUGCGAUGAAAGUUCCGGCUUUAUGACUCGCCAGCAACCUACCGAAAGGUAAGGUGCUCCAUCCGGCCCUCACGGGAAGAUGCUUU